UACGAAGGGGGCUAGCGUUGCUCGGAAUCACUGGGCGUAAAGCGCACGUAGGCGGCUUUUUAAGUCAGAGGUGAAAUCCUGGAGCUCAACUCCAGAACUGCCUUUGAUACUGGAGAGCUUGAGUCCGGGAGAGGUGAGUGGAACUGCGAGUGUAGAGGUGAAAUUCGUAGAUAUUCGCAAGAACACCAGUGGCGAAGGCGGCUCACUGGCCCGGUACUGACGCUGAGGCGCGAAAGCGGUGGGGAGCGAACAGG
rnacentral:rRNA from 1 species